rnacentral:lncRNA from 1 species
GGGGAAGGGAAGGGAAAAACUGUAGUUUCAAGGGGUUAAGUAUGUUGCCCAAAGCCAAAGCCACUUUGGGCUCACUAGCUACCAGCUAGUAAGUGGUGAUGUGGAGACUCACCCAACUCAGGUCACUUCCUGCUGCAGAGUCCUCACUCCAGCUUUCUCACCAAUCCUCCCCCUACACAAGAAGAUCAUCUCUGGGUUCAGGUCACCCAUCCAACUCCACUGAUGGAUUUAGGCUCAUUUAAUCCAAACUCGACUCCAUUUCAGCCAGAACCAGGCACCUCUAGAAAGGUCACCCUAACUGCCACAUCCAGUUCCUGAUCUGCCAUCUGCUUCUUUUCCAUCACUUGUGGGGUAUUUCCCAGCCUACCACUAAUGUGAGCCCUCCUGAGUCAAAAGUUCCCCUCUUCCAGGCCUCCUGCUCAGCUGACGUCCUGGACCAGGUGUGACAUGGGCCUCUGUGACCCAAGCUGAGGACUAACCCACCGCUCAUAACACGGUUUCUACGGGAAAACCAAGUUGUGAAUUUUGAAUUAUCAGCCCACUGAGGGUGGAAGUCCAAGAUCUGUGGUGAUUUGGGUGCUGAUGCAAGCCAGAAGUCACAGCCCAGAGCCUGCAGCGGCUGCACUGCUGGGUCCCCAGUCCUCGAUGGGCACCAGCCAACCUGCCCUCUCGACCCUCCACAGCAACUCAGGCCCCCACUCCAUGGCUCCCCUGCACCAUCCUCAUGCCUGGUCAACUCUUGCUGCCAGUUGCUGUGAGACCCAGCUCACCACUGGGCAAACAGAGCUUGCAAAAUGCAGCCCAUGCUCACCAUUCAUGGAUUCCAUAUGUACAAAUUCACCUACCUGCGAAAUUGUAUCUGUAACCCCAAAAUCAAUACUGGCUGCACUUUUGGGGUCAUUCUCGGACACACACAGAGUGGGGAAGAAUGAGGGCUGCUCAACACGCACAUUCCCAGCGGGGGUGGAACAAGGCCCGCUCAGCCUGCUGGCUUCAGCUCCCACAAUGCAAACAAGUGUCCUUUUCGCAGGCUAUUUGGUGCCACAUUUUUCAUGCUUUUGUGCUUUGUGUUGGUGAUUUCACUGUUUAAAAUGUCCCCUAAGCAUAUUCGAAGCAACCUGGAUGAGACUGGAGACUAUUAUUCUAAGUGAAGUAACUCAGGAAUGGAAAACCAAACAUUGUCUGUUCUCACUCAUAAGUGAGAGCUAAGCUAUGAGGAUGCAAAGGCAUAAGAAUGACACAAUGGACUUUGGGGACUCAGGGAGAAAGAGUGGGAAGGGGGUGAGGGAUAAAAGACUACAAACUGGGUUCAGUGUAUGCUUCCCAGGUGAUGAGUGCACCAAAAUCUCACAAAUCACCACUAAAGAACUGACUCAUGUAACCAAAUGCCACCUGUUCCCCAAUAACCUAUGAAAAUAAAAAAAAAAAUUAAUGUCCCCCAAG